UACGUAGGGUGCGAGCGUUGUCCGGAAUUAUUGGGCGUAAAGAGCUUGUAGGCGGUUUGUCGCGUCUGCUGUGAAAAUCCGAGGCUCAACCUCGGACUUGCAGUGGGUACGGGCAGACUAGAGUGUGGUAGGGGAGACUGGAAUUCCUGGUGUAGCGGUGGAAUGCGCAGAUAUCAGGAGGAACACCGAUGGCGAAGGCGGGGUCUCUGGGGCCGU
rnacentral:rRNA from 1 species